GUCUUGAUCCUCCGUGGUCCCUUAGCUAGAAGGUUGGGAUUUCCGGAUGUAGACAUUAACCAGUUCCUGGAACCUCAUUAAAAUAACAGCAGCAGGGAGCUGGCAAGAUGGCUCAGCAGGUAAGAGCACUGACUGCUCUUCUGAAGGUCCUGAGUUCAAAUUCCAGCAACCACUUGUAAUGGGGUCUGACGCCCUCUUCUGGUGUGUCUGAAGACAUCAACAAUGUACUUAUCUACAAUAAUAAUUCUUUGGGCUGGAGUGAGUAGGGACUGACCAGAGCGAGCAGAGGUCCUAAAUUAAAUUCCCAGCAACCACAUGAGAGCUCACAACCAUCUGUACAGCCACAGUGUACUCAUAAACAUAAAAUGAAUAAAUAAAUAAAGUCAUUAAAAAAAUACAGCAGCAAAGAAAUGAAAAACAGCAGUUUAUGACACUCAGAAUGGGAACAAGGCUUUGGGGUACUGGGGACUGUGAGCUAUAAGGCCUUUUCUUAUCCAGAAGUCAGAAAAGCAUGCACUAGGGGUGUGUGUGUGUGAGGAGUAGGGAGAGAGGUUGGGACAUAGAAUAGAAGAGACAUGGCGGAGCGUUGGGCAGAAAUUGCUGUUGUAGAAGAGAGACCUGAUUCACCCUAUAAAAUCUGCCAGGAGAACACAGGACCAUCAGACACUAAAUCUGCCAGAGAGUAGAGUGUGGAGCCGAGAAUGAGAGGGUUAAGUGAAAGUCUAUAUUAAGAACCUUAGCCUGGCAGUGGUGGUGCACGUCUUUAAUCCUAGCACUUUGGAAGCAGAGGCAGAAACAUCUCUGUGAGUUCCAGGACAGCCAGGGCUAUACAGAGAAACCAUGUCUUGAAAAACCAACCAGCCAACCAACCAACCAACCAACCAAACAAACAAACAAACAAACAAAAAACCCCAAAGUAAGGUGUCUUAUCUAGGUGUUUUACCAUCUGCCAGGGGGAAAAAGCAAGUAAAACAGUAGAGAUUUCUCAAAGAAAAUAAAGGAUCGAAGUGGAAUUUUAGAAAGUUGGUUGGAUGGUGUUUUGCUGGGUAAGCACAUGAAGGAACAUUUUGCUGAAGCAGACACAGGAGAGAGGAUGUUCUGCUAAAGCAAAAUCAUGAAAGGACGUGUGAUAAAGGAUUAUUUGCUAAUGGCACACACGUAUUGGUCCGACUUACACUGCGGAGUUGAGCUGCAUUUGUCGGGACUCCAUAGAGAGAAAUGCACC
rnacentral:lncRNA from 1 species